rnacentral:sRNA from 1 species
AACAUCACAGUCACUGCCGUGGCCAGAAACCCCCGCUGGCUCAGUGUCACCUGGCAAGACCCCCACUCCUGGAACUCAUCUUUCUACAGACUACGGUUUGAGCUCAGAUAUCGGGCUGAACGGUCAAAGACAUUCACAACAUGGAUGAAUCCAGGAGUCCUCCAGCUGAGAACGAGGUGUCCACCCCCAUGCAGGCACUUACUACUAAUAAAGACGAUGAUAAUAUUCUCGUCAGAGAUUCUGCAAAUGCGACAAGCCUCCCAGUGCAAGAUUCUUCUUCGGUACCACUGCCCACAUUCCUGGUUGCUGGAGGGAGCCUGGCCUUCGGAACGCUCCUCUGCGUUGCCAUUGUUCUGAGGUUCAAGAAGACGUGGAAGCUGCGGGCUCUGAAGGAAGGCAAGACAAGCAUACACCCGCCGUACUCUUUGGGGCAGCUGGUCCCGGAGAGGCCUCGACCCACCCCAGUGCUUGUUCCUCUCAUCUCCCCACCGGUGUCCCCCAGCAGCCUGGGGUCUGACAAUACCUCGAGCCACAACCGA